rnacentral:rRNA from 1 species
CCCUACGGGGGGCAGCAGUGAGGAAUAUUGGUCAAUGGUCGGGAGACUGAACCAGCCAAGCCGCGUGAGGGAUGAAGGUACAGAGUAUCGUAAACCUCUUUUGUCAGGGAACAAAGGCGGGGACGUGACCCCGGAUGAGUGUACCUGAAGAAAAAGCAUCGGCUAACUCCGUGCCAGCAGCCGCGGUAAUACGGAGGAUGCGAGCGUUAUCCGGAUUUAUUGGGUUUAAAGGGGGCGCAGGCGGUCUGUUAAGUCAGCGGUCAAAGCCCGGGGCUCAACCCCGGCCCGCCGUUGAAACUGGCAGG